rnacentral:rRNA from 1 species
GACGAACGCUGGCGGCGUGCUUAACACAUGCAUUUCGAACGGAAAGGCCCUGCUUUUGUGGGGUGCUCGAGUGGCGAACGGGUGAGUAACACGUGAGUAACCUGCCCUUGACUUUGGGAUAACUUCAGGAAACUGGGGCUAAUACCGGAUAGGAGCUCCUGCUGCAUGGUGGGGGUUGGAAAGUUUCGGCGGUUGGGGAUGGACUCGCGGCUUAUCAGCUUGUUGGUGGGGUAGUGGCUUACCAAGGCUUUGACGGGUAGCCGGCCUGAGAGGGUGACCGGCCACAUUGGGACUGAGAUACGGCCCAGACUCCUACGGGAGGCAGCAGUGGGGAAUAUUGCACAAUGGGCGGAAGCCUGAUGCAGCAACGCCGCGUGCGGGAUGACGGCCUUCGGGUUGUAAACCGCUUCCGCCUGUGACGAAGCGUGAGUGACGGUAAUGGGUAAAGAAGCACCGGCUAACUACGUGCCAGCAGCCGCGGUGAUACGUAGGGUGCGAGCGUUGUCCGGAUUUAUUGGGCGUAAAGGGCUCGUAGGUGGUUGAUCGCGUCGGAAGUGUAAUCUUGGGGCUUAACCCUGAGCGUGCUUUCGAUACGGGUUGACUUGAGGAAGGUAGGGGAGAAUGGAAUUCCUGGUGGAGCGGUGGAAUGCGCAGAUAUCAGGAGGAACACCAGUGGCGAAGGCGGUUCUCUGGGCCUUUCCUGACGCUGAGGAGCGAAAGCGUGGGGAGCGAACAGGCUUAGAUACCCUGGUAGUCCACGCUGUAAACGGUGGGUACUAGGUGUGGGGUCCAUUCCACGGGUUCCGUGCCGUAGCUAACGCUUUAAGUACCCCGCCUGGGGAGUACGGCCGCAAGGCUAAAACUCAAAGGAAUUGACGGGGCCCCGCACAAGCGGCGGAGCAUGCGGAUUAAUUCGAUGCAACGCGUAGAACCUUACCUGGGUUUGACAUGGAUCGGGAGUGCUCAGAGAUGGGUGUGCCUCUUUUGGGGUCGGUUCACAGGUGGUGCAUGGCUGUCGUCAGCUCGUGUCGUGGGAUGUUGGGUUAAGUCCCGCAACGAGCGCAACCCUUGUUCACUGUUGCCAGCACGUUAUGGUGGGGACUCAGUGGAGACCGCCGGGGUCAACUCGGAGGAAGGUGGGGAUGACGUCAAGUCAUCAUGCCCCUUAUGUCCAGGGCUUCACGCAUGCUACAAUGGCUGGUACAGAGAGUGGCGAGCCUGUGAGGGUGAGCGAAUCUCGGAAAGCCGGUCUCAGUUCGGAUUGGGGUCUGCAACUCGACCCCAUGAAGUCGGAGUCGCUAGUAAUCGCAGAUCAGCAACGCUGCGGUGAAUACGUUCCCGGGGCU